UACGUAGGGAGCAAGCGUUGUCCGGAAUCAUUGGGCGUAAAGCGCGCGUAGGCGGCCCUGUAAGUCCGUUGUGAAAGCCAAAGGCUCAACCUUUGAAAGCCGAUGGAUACUGCAGGGCUAGAGUCCGGAAGAGGCGAGUGGAAUUCCUGGUAUAGCGGUGGAAUGCGCAGAUAUCAGGAGGAACACCAAUAGCGAAGGCAGCUCGCUGGGACGGGACUGACGCUAAGGCGCGAAAGCGUGGGGAGCGAACAGG
rnacentral:rRNA from 1 species